UCCGUCUCUGUGGGUAAAUUUUAUUGGCAGUCUACAUCAGAAGUGUUGUUGGCAAGCUUAUCUGCAAUAUACAGUAAUCAGUCACUUCAGAAUAUUUGCAACCACUAACCACUAUAAAACAAGAGACAGCUAGAAUGAUUAAGAAAAUUUCUCCAUAAUCUACAAAAGAUUAUAUAGCUUUAAUCUGAGGGCAUCCGAGAAAUGUGAAACUGAGCAAGUUGUUGCUGCACUUCAAAUAUUCCUGAAGUCACAGGACAAAGUUUGUUAGGCAAUGAAAAUGACUCGGAACCUCUGGGAAGGAGCAUGACUACGCUUUCUGAGUGAUUAUGUCCGUUUCCUGCUCCAAAGUGUCAACAUAUACUUGAUGGUACCAUGCAGCAUUCAGUUCUUCAAUUUUAAUGUAAUCAUUGGCAGUUAUGUUUAGCAGACAAAUUUAUCAGACUUCUGAGAUAUAUAUAUAUAUAUAUAUAUAUAUAUAUAUAUAACACUUUUUUCUUUCCUCCCAGGCAUGUAUUAACUACUUUGGAACAUGACAUUUGCUUAUCAAAAGUCAGGCCCGCA
rnacentral:lncRNA from 1 species